rnacentral:lncRNA from 1 species
AUGUCAUUUUCUCCCUUUGAACUGUGCCUAUUUGAACUGUGCAUCUCCCCCCGCCUGCUCGUUGUGCUGAUUUAUCGCCCUCCAAAGACUGACUCUAACUUCCUUAAUGAUUUCUGUGAUCUUGUGGCAGACUGCAUCCUAAAACAUGACUAUGUCCUAUUUUUUGGUGAUUUUAACAUCCAUAUCUGCUGUCCUGAGCUUGCUAAAGGCUUUUUGAAUUUGCUAGAUUCAUUCAAUUUGACUCAAUGGGUAUCGUCCCCAACUCAUGCCAGGGGUCACACCCUGGACCUGGUUAUCUCUUUUGGUCUCCCUGUCAUGAACCUUGUGACUUUGCCUCCUGUGUUCUCUGACCACUCUCCUAUACUCUGUGAUGUUACGUUGCCAUGUCCUGUCCCUGUGUGUGAAGCUCCAGCUACUAGUUUCAGAGCCCUGGAUGCAGAAACUAUUUCAAAGUUUGUGGACUGUAUGUCUGUAAGGUUAGAGACCUUUAACCCUGAUCCAUCUAACGUUGAUCACUAUUCACAACACUUUGAUGUACGUUGUAAUCAGGUCCUGGACGUGGUUGCCCCUCUCAAGCUUUGCAAGUCUAGGCCUAAGAGGGUGCCUUGGCUAUCUGAUGUCACACGGGCUUGUAGGCGGGCGUGUAGAGCUUCUGAGAGAAAGUGGAAAAAGGAUGGCCUACAGGUCUCGCGUGAGUUGUUCAGAGCAUCACUGGUUGCUUAUCAUGAUGCUGUGAGGGCUGCUAGAACUGCAUAUUUUGCAGACAUCAUCGAAACAAACUCCAAGAAUCCCAGGAUUCUCUACAAAACACUUAAUUCUGUUCUGGUGUAUCAAGAGCCUAGCUCCAUGUCUCCUACAGCUGCUGGAAAAACUGAAGAUUUUCACAGAUUCUUUGUUCAUAAAGUGUCGGGCAUUAGAGCAGCUAUUUCUGGUAACUCUGUUGACCCUGUUCCAGUUCCUCCAUUACCACCCACCCUGAGCUCCCUCAAUACUGUUUCAUACUCUGAGCUGAGUAAGCUUGUUGCGAGGCAGAAGCCAUCUGGCUCUCCACUUGACGUUCUGCCGCCUCGUCUCUGGAAGGCUGCCUUUCCGUGUCUUGGCCCUUCACUUGGACAGAUUAUCAAUGGGAGCCUCAGCACAGGUGUUGUCCCAGCAGCUUUGAAAGCAGCAGUUAUUCCGCCAACCCUGAAGAAACCUGGUGCUGAUGUCUCUGUGAUCACAAAUUACAGGCCUAUCUCUACCCUGCCUUUUACAUCAAAACUGCUUGAGAAAAUCGUUCAUCAGCAGCUGGUCUCACAUUUAGCUGACUCUGAUCUGUUUGAGGUUUUCCAAUUAGGGUUCAGGUCCGGCCAUAGCACAGAGUCGGCUCUACUGAGGGUCUUAAAUGAUAUCUAUCACUAG